GCAUAUCAAUAAGCGGAGGAAAAGAAACUAACAAGGAUUCCCUUAGUAACGGCGAGUGAAGAGGGAAGAGCUCAAAUUUUAAAUCUAUCAUGUUUGUACAUGAUCGAAUUGUAAUUUGAAGAAGCGUUUUCUCGUACUUUAUGCAAUCAGUAUAAGUUCUCUUGGAACAGGACAUCAUAGAGGGUGAUAAUCCCGUCUGUUACUGGUUGUGAGGUUCGUUAUGAUACGCUUUCAAAGAGUCGAGUUGUUUGGGAUUGCAGCUCCAAAUGGGUGGUAAACAUCACCUAAGGCUAAAUAUUUGCGAGAGACCGAUAGCGAACAAGUACCGUGAGGGAAAGAUGAAAAGAACUUUGAAAAGAGAGUUAAAAAGUAUGUGAAAUUGUUGAAAGGGAAACGAUUGAAGUCAGUCGUGCAGUCAUCAAUUCAGCGGUUAACAUUUUUAUGUUUCCGUGUAAUUUGGUGUCUGUUGGUUAGCAUCAAUUUUGAUUGUUAUAAAAAGGUUAAGGGGAUGUGGCUCCUUCGGGAGUGUUAUAACCCUUAGCGUAAUGUGACGAUUAGGAUUGAGGUUUGCAACGAAUACCUUUUAGGGCAGUUUCACCUGGCCUCUCGUGGAAUUAUAGAUAGUUAAGAGCAUGCUCUUACUGUCUAUGAUUCUACGAAAAGGUUGGAGUGUAAAACUAAUUCGUUAAGGAUGUUGACGUA
rnacentral:rRNA from 1 species